CAAAAGAAACCUGUAUCUUCGGUUGUACAGGGACGAAAGGGGGACGGAGGAACUUUACUGAGAGAAGUUCAUGGACUUGAGGAAACAAAUAUGAUGAAGACUUCCAGGAGGGAAGGAGAGGCCAUUGUAAUACAAUGUAUGGACGAGUUCUUUGGUUCUCCAGAAAAUUAAGAGUCCAAGCACAGGAGCAAGACAAACCCCAUCAUCAUGGACUUUCUACACCAUCAUGGAGUGCCCACCAGGAAAGAACCACUCCACCAGUCUCCCACUUCUUAUUUCUAGCAGUGGAGGAAAGUUCAGUGUCAAAGCCUCUUCUAGUCAGCCAAAAAAACGAAGAGGAGUACUUAAUUUCUGUUUGCCAGCGUUGUUGUUUAGGAUCUCUGACAUUAGAGACUAAUUGCACAAUGAUCUUCUGAAUUCUCGGACUGGUCCUGACACUUGUCUAAAGAUCUGUUCUGCAAGGUACAGGGGUGUGAACUCUCAGCUUAAAAGCUGAUUUCAGCUUUUAUUGUUUUGGAUUUCAGCUUUUUUCCCCUCACUUGCUGUGUACAAAAGUAUAGCAGAUUUCCAAAGUUCAGCUUUUUACACCCUUUUCAGCUGUUUUCAGCUAUUUUUUAUCAGUUGUCACUCUCACCCCUUAUUGUACUUAAAAUAAAUUUAGGUGCUCAAUGUAUAGUGCUGUUUACACUAGAAAACUAUUGAAACAGGUCCAGGUCAACAUAGCUCAUGUUGCCUAGCCCGGUUGACAUUUAUAAUUACAUCAUAUAAGUGUUUGACUGUUUACAUUUAUAUGCUGGGGUAAAAUUAUAUUUCUAAUGAUUUAAUUGUCAGAAAUAGAAAAUGUUCAGGCCUCUUUUUAAGAAAAGAAUAUUCCCACUGUAUUUGCGAUGUGUGUGAAUUUACUUAAUAUUCUUGUCACUUUUUUUAAGGGAUCACAAUGAUUUCUGUCUUCAUAAGCUACAGCAAAGGAAACAUUUCCAUUUUGAAAUAUAAAUAUUUCAUUAAGUGCCUUUUUAUCUAAACAUUUGGAUUUUUUUUUUUGGGGGGGGGGGUGAUUAUACAUGCUGUUACUGUUGAACUGUUAUGUAUGUACAUAACUUGUUUUUAAAUUCUAUUGUACUAUGUAGUUCCUCAAGAUACAUCAAGAUACAUUUUUGUGUUUCGCUGACACAAUGUUUGUGCUGAACGAUUGUUAGUUCUGAUGUCCUGUGCAAUAUGAAUCUUGACUCUUUACAGUUGAACCUUCUGGCCAAAUAAACCAUCAAUAAAAAUACAAGUAUAACAAUUCUUUGCAGAAAAGGGCAGUUUAAUUCUCGAAAGACGGGGAUAGCAUUUUGUUGUAGGGAUAGAUGAUAGAUCAAACCUAAAUCUUUAAGACUUGCCAGUGUUAUUUUCUAAUAUUAUCCCGAAAAAAGUCCUUUUGUAAUGAUUGUUGUUUUUCAAGCAAUAAAAAAUUACUCACUUUUAAAUGAUGAGAGACAUUGACCAAAAAA